rnacentral:rRNA from 1 species
GAUGAACGCUGGCGGCGUGCCUAAUACAUGCAAGUCGAGCGAACAGACGAGGAGCUUGCUCCUCUGACGUUAGCGGCGGACGGGUGAGUAACACGUGUAUAACCUACCUAUAAGACUGGGAUAACUUCGGGAAACCGGAGCUAAUACCGGAUAAUAUAUUGAACCGCAUGGUUCAAUAGUGAAAGACGGUUUUGCUGUCACUUAUAGAUGGAUCCGCGCCGCAUUAGCUAGUUGGUAAGGUAACGGCUUACCAAGGCAACGAUGCGUAGCCGACCUGAGAGGGUGAUCGGCCACACUGGAACUGAGACACGGUCCAGGCUCCUACGGGAGGCAGCAGUAGGGAAUCUUCCGCAAUGGGCGAAAGCCUGACGGAGCAACGCCGCGUGAGUGAUGAAGGUCUUCGGAUCGUAAAACUCUGUUAUUAGGGAAGAACAAAUGUGUAAGUAACUAUGCACGUCUUGACGGUACCUAAUCAGAAAGCCACGGCUAACUACGUG